UACAGAGGUCUCAAGCGUUGUUCGGAUUCAUUGGGCGUAAAGGGUGCGUAGGCGGCGCGGUAAGUCGGGUGUGAAAACCCGGGGCUCAACCCCGGGCUUGCAGUGGAUACGGGCAGGCUAGAGGCAGGCAGGGGAGAACGGAAUUCCCGGUGUAGCGGUGAAAUGCGCAGAUAUCGGGAAGGAACACCGGUGGCGAAGGCGGUUCUCUGGGCCUGUACUGACGCUGAGGAGCGAAAGCGUGGGGAGCAACAGG
rnacentral:rRNA from 1 species